ACAACAUGUCAAUCAUGCAUUCACAUAUAAAGGCAUUUAUUUUUGAUUAUAGCAGUUGGACCUACUUCGGCGUUGAAUAAGUAGAUGAUUAUGGCUUGAUAUUUGCAACUUGUUAUCACUUCCAUGAAGCUCAAGGUGUGAGACCACCCCCUGUAAUAUACAGUCGAGUUUCCGCCGCGUAUUCUCGAGCGACCGUCAAGUUGCGUGAUCCUUAUCGGCCUGUGCAACCCUUGCGUCACACUGUUUUCACCACAUUGUCUUUGGCAUGUGGUUGGCCCAUGACUCAGACCUGAACCUUUUUUUUGCUUCUGAGACGACUUCCUAUUGGGACACUCUUGCCAGAUGAUGACUCCCCUGAUUUUCGGAAACCAAGAAGGGAUAGUGGGUGUUCAUACAGUACAUACCGUCUGUAAAACAGGAAACAGGAAAGUACCCCCCCACCUGAUUCGCUUCCUGAUUGGCUGCACUAGAAUACAGAAGAAUUGUGUUUUUUCCUGUAUGGCAUCAAGGUAAUACAUAGCAGAUGCGAUGGGACACAGAGUUGGUGUCUCGCAUACAGAAGUGGCCCGGGCUGCACUUUAUCUGUCACUUCUUGAUUCUCAGAGGCACAGCCGUAGGUGGAACUUGGCACAAAUUAACUACGGCGCACGCAUUUGACUUGUUUUUAACUGUUUCCAAUUCGACAAACUCAAAGACGAAAGCUUGGGAAAAGACACAAACAAGCUUGAAUGGCAUGCUAAAUUGUGCCUUCCAAGAAUGAACUGUUUGCUCAAGUGGGAAAAAAAAGAGUGCAUUUUGUUUGUCAGCCACACUUUUAAACAAGCUCUUCAAGAUUUAUCUGCCUUUUCCUUGGGCACCCGUUUGGUAUAAAUGAUACUCAUUCAUUCAUUCAUCUUCCGAGCCGCUUGAUCCUCACGAGGGUCGCGGGGGGUGCUGGAGCCUAUCCCAGCUGUCUUCGGGCAGUAGGCGGGGGACACCCUGAAUCGGUUGCCAGCCAAUCGCAGGGCACACAGAAACAAACAACCAUGCACGCCCGCACUCACACCUAGGAACAAUUUUAGAGCGUCCAAUCAGCCUGCCAUGCAUGUUUUUGGAAUGUGGGAGGAAACCGGAGCACCCGGAGAAAACCCACGCAGGCCCGGGGAGAACAUGCAAACUCCACACAGGGAGGCCGGAGCUGGAAUCGAACCCGGUACCGCUGCACUGUGAAGCCGACGUGCUACUGACACAGAAAAGCUGACCAAGUCAUUGGACCAAUAUGAGGCUGUUGGGUCAACACUCAACACUCACUUCUCCCACGCUGUUGUGUUGAAAGCAAUUGAGGCUGUCCAAACGGACGACGUUCAUGUCGUCACGCGGCCGGAACAACUGCAGCAAUAGUCUAUCUCUAUUGGGUUUUCUGUUAAAAAAAAAAAAGCAACAUUUAUGGAAAUUGGUUCUCCGGUUUUUAUAUAAUCUCACUUCCAACAAACGAAAAAUGUUUUGGUUCAAAACAAUGCCUCUCACACUUGGUGGGGAAAAUAAGUGUGAAAUCAAUGCACAUAUGCUAAUAUUUGUUAAGAGGUAAAUGGCAGGUUAAUGUUCUUCGGAUAUCACCAUCAACCUGGAAUAAGUACACAAUGUACUUAUAAUAAAGCCUGUACGACCGGUGUUUCACACUUGGCAGAGAGGGAAAAAGAAAAAAAGGGGUGGGGGGGGGAUUAAUGUUCAUUUGUUAAAAUGUAAAUACAGCGUUUUUAACACAUUAACAUCACCUGGAAUAUACUUUGUAGGUGCAGAAAGUACUUUCUAAUAAUGCCAGAUUCUUGUCCGUUCACUCUUUUGGGUCAAUUUACAUUUUUUUCCUGAAGCCAUUAAAACUAGCUUUAAACAUUGAAA